AAAAAAAAAAAAAAAAAAAAAAAGCUACUGGUUGGGAAUUCAUACCGCUAAGUUUUGAGCACUUUUAAGAUCACGAUAAACAAGUUAUAUAUUCCUAGAGUUCGAUAAAGUCGAAUAUAUUGCAUAAUUGGCAACUGUCUGAGAACGACCGUGGAUUUCCAGGUCCCUUAACUUAGUGUAGAAAUCUGGCAGGCCUCCUCUAUACGUACAGCAUUCUCGGGUCACUCGAGUUUUGCACACAAAUGCGCCGAGGAUGAGCUGCUCCAUCGUUUUUUCAUUACAGCCAGCCAAUUGUAUCCUCCACAAUCUGAGGCACAACGUGUUCCCAUAGGCAUAGAUCAAUCAUCAUUCACAAGAGGCUCAACCACAACCUUUCACGUCUUCAUCGUCAGGUUUCAUUUAAGGAAAGAGAGGAACACCUCGGCAAAGAGCUUCAAUUUGUUUGUGCCCUUAUGUCCAUGCGAGGGGAGAAGGGAGGGCUAUCAUUCUGUAAUUAAUUGGUGUCCUGAAUGGGGGAGAGCAUCCCUAGGCCGAGAUUUUAAAAGGAAGAGGCCACAGCAGCUUGUUCUCAGAAGUUCUCAGAACUUUCUCAGAAGCCAGACGCCUCUCACAUGCAGAACACCACUUCUCCCCCUUUGCCCCCUUGCUCCUCUGGGGAUCUCACAAGUGUUCUUUUACCAUCCAUAGUGCACAAGAUCGAUCAGCAGAUGAGGAGACAACAACACCAAGAAUUUCCAGACAAAGAUCGUGCCUGAUUGUGAGAGAAAUAUUGGGAACGGUUGGUUACGACGCUUGCAUUUAAAUAACCCGCUUUGUGCAAACCAAUUCUCUGGGUCUGGGUCAUUUCCCAGCCACGUGUUCCCGGUGGACCUGCAAUCAACCACCUUCCAUUAAUUUCUGGACCUACAAAUCAUUUAAAUGUAAAUAUAGUUCAUUUAAACUAAAAUCCAGAGUUUAUGUAAAUUCCUCCUCCUCAGUAAUAUCA